rnacentral:rRNA from 1 species
CAGCAGCCGCGGUAAUACGUAGGUGGCAAGCGUUGUCCGGAAUUAUUGGGCGUAAAGCGCGCGCAGGCGGUUUCUUAAGUCUGAUGUGAAAGCCCCCGGCUUAACCGGGGAGGGUCAUUGGAAACUGAGAGACUUAGAGUGCAGAAGAGGAGAGUGGAAUUCCACGUGUAGCGGUGAAAUGCGUAGAGAUGUGGAGGAACACCAGUGGCGAAGGCGACUCUCUGGCCUGUAACUGACGCUGAGGAGCGAAAGCGUGGGGAGCGAACAGGAUUAGAUACCCCCGUAGUCCCUGUCUCUUAUA